UUUCCGAGUUUUGGACAAUAUCCUUAAAGUGCUUAAAGCAGUUUUUAUUAAGAUUUGAUGACUUAUUUUUAUUUAUUAAGAUAACCUCCCUUUAGUUUUUUUUUAUAAAUUUUUGAUGAAACAUUGAGAAGUUAUUGAAUAAAAUUGAGAAAGGAAAUGGGGAAUGUGUCAAACUGACAAAAGAUUUACUAAGUAUUGCCCAACAGCAUACUAAGUAUUGCCCAACAGCAUACUUAGUAUUGCGCAACAGCACAGUGUAUUGCACAACAGCAAGAAAUCUUUAGUUGAAUAUAAAUUGAAUUUAUACAAUGUUCAUUUAAAAUUGUCUAUUUACAUGGUUUACUUUAACAAAAAUAUAAUCUG
rnacentral:lncRNA from 1 species